AUGUUGAAAUGGGAAGGACGUACAAUAUUUUGUUCCGUAGUGUCUGCCCAUAUGAUUUUGGUUCGGGUACCUUUGGAGAUACUCGGCGUUAAGUCUGCAAAACGGGCCGACUUAUGCCAAACGAUGGAAGCUGGGAAGAAUCAAGAUCUAGGAUUGAAGAAGCAGGGGGCCACGACGACGGAGAAGCCGAUCGCCGUGGCGAUGCCGUCGGUUUCCCGGCCGUGCACGGCGGCGUAACUAGUCCAUGCGCUCGCCGGCCUCGGCCACAUCGACCUCGCCCUUGUCGCAGCCGAUCGGGUCUCCGGCGCCUGCCUCCGCUUCUCCGACAUCAAGUUCUCUUCCUUCCACCACCGGAUUCACCCACCCUUCUUUCCGUCGUCCGAAUCCCUUGCCCCGACCUUUCGCACCGUUUUUUGAUCGUUUUCGGAUCCUUUCUUAAAACUCACUGCUCUCUGCAGCCGAGAAGGCUAUCAAAACGUUUGGUCUCAGCCUCGCUCAACAACGACGGACAUCGGCUCGUCGAGGCGAUCAUCUAUCUCCUUGCAUUUUUUUUUUCCUCUUUUUUUAGCCACUUAUUUCGUCAAGCUUUGUUCCUGUUCUUGAUGUCAUGCUAUUCUCCGAAGGAAUCAACCGAAACCCUAGCGAAUUUAGUCUCAACGGCUUUUAAACUUGUUCAGGCGAGGAUAGUUUGAUUGAGCAACAGUUAUUUGGAGGCUCAACUAGCUUCAGAAGUAUUUUUGCCUGUCUAGAAAAUUGAAUAUUGGCUGGAGAACUUUUUGGGAUUUACAGGGAGAUAAUCAAUUCUGAUUGGUAGAAGUGGCACAAAGGUGAUUACAUGUGGGCAAGGAAAACUACAUACAAAAGGGUUAUAUUGAAAGAACCUCCUUUCUUUUAAGGAAAAUGGUGCGAUGGUGCCACCAUUUCAAUAAGGAAGUGAAAUGAAAACAAAGGGGCCAAUGAAACAUAUGCUAAAGAGGGUGAAAAAGCAUAGCAAAAAGCGGAAAAACAGAAGUAGAAAGAGAGGAAAAAGCGAUGGUGGAGUCGAUCUGAGGGGCCAACAGACAUCCAAGCGCACCUGAGGCCCACCCAAGAAAAUCCAUCCGAUCCAUCAAAGACCAGCUGGCCAACAAACGGCAAUCCCAAGUCACAUGUCUUCAACAAUUGUAGAGUUUGCAUCAUGCGACACUGUAAGCUCCAGGGAAGACUUCAGCACCCCGGUGACACAUCAUCAAUUGGAUACUUUGCAUUACAUGUCUUUCAUCACGGAGCUCGGCAACAUGUUAUCCCAAGUCAGCUGAGAAAGCAUUCCAUGCUGAGGGAAGUUAGCAAAGCAUCCCCUCCAAUCUGGGCAACUUACAAGUUCUGAGGAGAUCUUUAACUUUCUGGAUUCUUUCUUUGAAGAUAUUGCAAGGAAUUACUUUGCCACCUUCUUGCUAGAUAAGCUUUGUCACUGAUUUACUUCCUAAACUUUUGAUUUUGAUCUUCCAAUUUUCAUGCGCUGGAGAGGCUAUUCUAUUGGUGUUUUACCUGCUCUUGACCAUCUCUUCCUUUUCUUUUUCCCCUUUUUUCUUUCUUCUUUUUGCUAUAGUCUUCUGAUUGCUUUUUGUCAUCUACUUAGCUUAGUUUCCUUGCUGCUUCAAAAUUUAAUCGUGAGCUUCUGAGGUUUGUGCAAACAUUGUUGGUUCUGCUGAGUUAAAUACUUGUUUGAUCUACA